rnacentral:rRNA from 1 species
AGAGUGAAAAGGUACGUGAAAUUGUUGAAAUGGAAGGCAAUGAGGCGCGAUUGCGCCGGACGUGCGCGGGCAGGACAAAGGCGCGGGCCGCUUCGGCACCGCCUGCGCUCCUACUGCCCCGCGGACCACCGGCGCUAACAACGCCUUACUGCACCCGUCUUGAAACACGGACCCGCUUUGCCCGACCCCGGGUUGCUUGGUUGAGCGUCGAACCUCUCCACGGUGUUACUGCUCCAGCAGUCAAAGGCAUGGAACGCACCCGUUAGCACAACGGUGUUUUGUGAACCGCUGACCUUCACCGCGCAAGAGCACCCGCUGAACUUUAAGCAUAUCAAUAAGCCGGAGGAAAAGAAAACCAACAGGGGAUUGCCCCUAGUAAUGGCGAAUGAACCGGGCAAGAGCUCAAAAUUUGAAACCCUUCGGGAUUUGUAUUCUGGAAGGCCCAGAUCCCGGCAGCUGGGCCAAGUCUCCUGGAAACGGAGCGCCCUGGAAGGGUGACAGCCCCCGUAACAACA